GUGAACUUGAAGAUGUGCAAGAUUUCACAAGUUCAAAUGCUAGGAAUAAGGCAAUACCAAAUGCUCAGUAGUAGACUUUAAUAUCAUUGAUACCCUGGAAGAAUGUAAGUAAAACACCUGUUUUUAUGUUUAUUACAUUUUCAUGAAUUGACUUGGAGUUUCAUUUUACCAUGAAAUCAUUAAUUGCUCAAUAUUUUG
rnacentral:lncRNA from 1 species